rnacentral:rRNA from 1 species
UCGAACGAGAGAAGAUCGGUGCUUGCACUGAUCCGAUCGAGUGGCGGACGGGUGAGUAACGCGUGGGUAACCUGCCUCAUACAGGGGAAUAACAGUUGGAAACGGCUGCUAAAACCGCAUAAGCGCACAGUAUCGCAUGAUACAGUGUGAAAAACUCCGGUGGUAUGAGAUGGACCCGCGUCUGAUUAGCUAGUUGGUGAGGUAACGGCCCACCAAGGCAACGAUCAGUAGCCGGCCUGAGAGGGUGAACGGCCACAUUGGGACUGAGACACGGCCCAAACUCCUACGGGAGGCAGCAGUGGGGAAUAUUGCACAAUGGGGGAAACCCUGAUGCAGCGACGCCGCGUGAGUGAUGAAGUAUUUCGGUAUGUAAAGCUCUAUCAGCAGGGAAGAUAAUGACGGUACCUGACUAAGAAGCACCGGCUAAAUACGUGCCAGCAGCCGCGGUAAUACGCAUGGUGCAAGCGUUAUCCGGAUUUACUGGGUGUAAAGGGUGCGUAGGUGGUGAGACAAGUCUGAAGUGAAAAUCCGGGGCUUAACCCCGGAACUGCUUUGGAAACUGCCUGACUAGAGUACAGGAGAGGUAAGUGGAAUUCCUAGUGUAGCGGUGAAAUGCGUAGAUAUUAGGAGGAACACCAGUGGCGAAGGCGACUUACUGGACUGCUACUGACACUGAGGCACGAAAGCGUGGGGAGCAAACAGGAUUAGAUACCCUGGUAGUCCACGC